rnacentral:rRNA from 1 species
UACGUAGGUGGCAAGCGUUGUUCGGAAUUAUUGGGCGUAAAGGGCGCGUAGGCGGCUUGUUAAGUCGGCUGUGAAAGCCCGGGGCUCAACCCCGGAGGGUCGGCCGAUACUGGCGGGCUAGAGUACGGAAGAGGUAGCUGGAAUUCUCGGUGUAGCGGUGAAAUGCGUAGAUAUCGGGAGGAACACCAGAGGCGAAGGCGGGCUACUGGGCCGAUACUGACGCUGAUGCGCGAAAGCCAGGGUAGCAAACGGG